AUGCGAAGGUCCCAGCGGAGGGCAAGCUGCUCUUUAAUUGAGGCCUCUCUAACAUUUGAAAACAAACCUUCGCAGAAUCACUUGCCAAAUCGUACUACUCUCAGAGUUCUGUUUCUUUUCUGAGUGUCUUGAACCCUUGGCUACAUUUUU
rnacentral:snoRNA from 14 species